UAGAUAGAUGGUGUGUGUAUAAAUGCUGGAUCAGGAGUAGAUCAGAUCAGAUACGCCGCUCUUCCUUACAGCACCCUGACAACACUCAACUAAACACCAUGAGAGAUCUACAGACAAGAUGCAAGCUCCUGAGCUUGGAGAGGAAAUGCACUGAUGGUGUGGAACGCAUUAAGACUGCUCUGGAGAUCCAGCUGCACAGUGGCAUCUCUCACACAGACAUCUGGGAGAAGACGGUCUCGUUCUUCGCCCCAAAAAAGGCGCCAAUCUUCCACGACGGUUACUCCAAGUACUCCAGAGAAACCCUGCGCUUCUUCCCAGCCUCGGCUGAAGAUGUGGCCCCUCUGUGUUUUCAGCAGUAAUUUACCUUCAAAACACAGAACUGAAAUGAAACAGAAAUGAAAACCAGUCUCGAGAUGGAUAAACAUCACUCAGCACUGAUCCUGGAAUACUUGAAAUUUGAACUCUUUUUUUUUUUGUGAAUUUAUUUUGAUUAUUAUUUUUUGUUACUCUGAAGUAUCAGAGUUUGUAGCUUAACUGCAUGUGAGAAGUCUUUUGUAAAGACAGAUUUUGUUUUAAUGUUGUAAUGAACGCAGCCCUGCAUGGGUUUAAUUUUGUCCACAGAUGGACACUGGAAAUGCUAAUGUUCCUUAGCAGAACAUAACUUAAGUGUACUAUGAAGUGAAAUGUCUGUUUAACAGAUACGUGUAAUAUGUAAAUGUUGAGCAGAGGAUCUGAAUUAAAGCCACAUUCCUUUGUACAAAGGAACCAUUAGUAUGCGGUAAUGCAAAAAAAAAGUCUAUGUGUUAGAAUUUUAUAUUAUUUAAUACAUAUUUGCAAUGAUGUAUUACUUAAUAUGUAUUUUUGAAUAUUUGUACUGAAUGAUUUUUGUAAUAAAACCAGAAAAUAA